rnacentral:rRNA from 1 species
CCUACGGGAGGCAGCAGUGAGGAAUAUUGGUCAAUGGACGAGAGUCUGAACCAGCCAAGUAGCGUGAAGGAUGACUGCCCUAUGGGUUGUAAACUUCUUUUAUAUGGGAAUAAAACGUUCCACGUGUGGGAUUUUGUAUGUACCAUAUGAAUAAGGAUCGGCUAACUCCGUGCCAGCAGCCGCGGUAAUACGGAGGAUCCGAGCGUUAUCCGGAUUUAUUGGGUUUAAAGGGAGCGUAGGUGGAUUGUUAAGUCAGUUGUGAAAGUUUGCGGCUCAACCGUAAAAUUGCAGGUGAAACUGGCAGUCUUGAGUACAGUAGAGGUGGGCGGAAUUCGUGGUGUAGCGGUGAAAUGCUUAGAUAUCACGAAGAACUCCGAUUGCGAAGGCAGUUCACUGGACUGCAACUGACACUGAGGCUCGAAAGUGUGGGUAUCAAACAGGAUUAGAUACCCUAGUAGUC